CAAGACAUGGCGAGAAUGGUGGUGGUGGGAGCUGAGACAGGCAGCCGAGCACGGAGGCGAAGUGAUUGGUUCGAUGCUUGCCCACCCGCCGCUCGAUCAUUUCAACAGUGACGAGAUUCGUUACAAGACGUCACUAGGUCUUUUAUUGUUGUGUUGGGAUUGUGGCUUGCAUUAUAAGCAUGCUUGGUGAAAAAUUACGUCCUCAUGUUCCAUUCUUAGAUUCUUUUUUGUUUCGGUUUUGAAAAUAAAAUAAU
rnacentral:lncRNA from 1 species